UACGUAGGGGGCUAGCGUUGUCCGGAAUCAUUGGGCGUAAAGCGCGCGUAGGCGGUCAGGAAAUCCGGUGUGAAAGUCAUAGGCUCAACCUAUGGAUGCCGCUGGAAACUGCCUGACUUGAGUCCGGAAGGGGCGAGUGGAAUUCCUGGUGUAGCGGUGAAAUGCGCAGAUAUCAGGAGGAACACCAAUUGCGAAGGCAGCUCGCUGGGACGUUACUGACGCUGAGACGCGAAAGCGUGGGGAGCAAACAGG
rnacentral:rRNA from 1 species